CUAUGCGCCUUCGCCACGCCCGCUCAAGAAACUUAAAGGAAUUGGACGGGGCCCGCACAAGCGGAGGAACAUGUGGUUUAAUUCGAUGAUACGCGAGGAACCUUACCUGGGCUUAAAUGGGGAGUGACAGCUGUCGAAAGAUGGUUUUCUUCGGACACUCUUCAAGGUGCUGCAUGGUUGUCGUCAGCUCGUGCCGUGAGGUGUCGGGUUAAGUCCCAUAACGAGCGCAACCCUUACCGUUAGUUACCAUCAGGUUAAGCUGGGGACUCUAGCGGGACUGCCACCGUAAGGUGAGAGGAAGGUGGGGAUGACGUCAAAUCAGCACGGCCCUUAUGUCCAGGGCUACACACGUGUUACAAUGGCCGGUACAAAGGGCAGCUACUUCGCGAGAAGAUGCUAAUCUCGAAAGCCGGUCUCAGUUCGGAUCGAAGUCUGCAACUCGACUUCGUGAAGCUGGAUUCGCUAGUAAUCGCGCAUCAGCCAUGGCGCGGUGAAUACGUUCCCGGGCCUU
rnacentral:rRNA from 1 species